rnacentral:rRNA from 1 species
UACGUAGGGGGCAAGCGUUAUCCGGAUUUACUGGGUGUAAAGGGAGCGUAGACGGCGAUGCAAGCCAGAUGUGAAAGCCCGGGGCUCAACCCCGGGACUGCAUUUGGAACUGUGUGGCUGGAGUGUCGGAGAGGCAAGUGGAAUUCCUGGUGUAGCGGUGAAAUGCGUAGAUAUCAGGAGGAACACCGGCGGCGAAGGCGGCCUGCUGGACCGCGACUGACGUUGAGGCUCGAAAGCGUGGGGAGCAAACAGG